UCCUCCUCCCAGUUUCCCGUGUCAGACAAGUCCCUCUGCCUCCCACGGGGAGUCACUGGGGACUGUUGUCCCGAUGGAGCUCGGUCUACAGGUAUGACCAGACUACUUUGAAAAACAGGCUGAUUUUAUAGAGCCGAUAAAAAGCCCCUUUGAAAGAUGGCCUGGUUCUUUGUCUAUGCAGUUCCUUUACAAGUUUCCUGACCUGUGUUCCCGGGGGCUUGGUCACUUGCUACAGCCUCAGCCAGCUCUCAAGAAAUUCAUCUUCAAGAUUCUAGACCCACAAGGCUGACCAUGGUGU